UUGGCCUGGGAGGCGGAGGUGCCAAUCUGGAAGUUUCCAUAAGAAGAAUUCGGAAAAUAAAGCCAGGAGGUUUUCAAGGAGGAGUCUCAGGAACCAGUCCUCCAGAAGGAGUCACUAGAAGCACAGCUUUACACACAGGCUGCUGAAAACACCAAAAAAAAAAAAGUCUACAAAGAAUCUCCCUUUGCAUCAACCUGCUAGAAUAUACUCCGUCUACAGCGUGCCAUGGUCUGGAUCUAGCCCGCCCCGCACAGCGUGUUGAGAGCUUGGUCCCUGAGGCCUCAGCGUUCAGAGGUUGGUUCAUGACUAAAUGGACGACCGGGAGACUGGAGAAACCGCCUCGCUGGGCCCAUCCCGAGAGU